GAUGAACGCUGGCGGCGUGCCUAAUACAUGCAAGUCGAGCGAACAGACGAGGAGCUUGCUCCUCUGACGUUAGCGGCGGACGGGUGAGUAACACGUGGAUAACCUACCUAUAAGACUGGGAUAACUUCGGGAAACCGGAGCUAAUACCGGAUAAUAUAUUGAACCGCAUGGUUCAAUAGUGAAAGACGGUUUUGCUGUCACUUAUAGAUGGAUCCGCGCCGCAUUAGCUAGUUGGUAAGGUAACGGCUUACCAAGGCAACGAUGCGUAGCCGACCUGAGAGGGGGAGGGGCCACACGGGAAAUGAGACACGGGCCAGACUCCCACGGGAGGCAGAAGGAGGGAAUCGUCCGCAAUGGGCGAAAGCCUGACGGAGCAACGACGCGGGAGUGAAGAAGGUCUUCGGAUCGUAAAACGCUUUGAUUAGGGAAGAACAAAUGGGUAAGUAACUAUGCACGUCUUGACGGGACCUAAUCAGAAAGCCACGGCGAACUACGUG
rnacentral:rRNA from 1 species